rnacentral:rRNA from 2 species
UACGUAGGCAGCAAGCGUUGUUCGGAGUUACUGGGCGUAAAGGGUGCGUAGGCGGUUGUUUAAGUUUGGUGUGAAAUCUCCCGGCUCAACUGGGAGGGUGCGCCGAAUACUGAAUGACUAGAGUGCGGGAGAGGAGAGUGGAAUUCCUGGUGUAGCGGUGAAAUGCGUAGAUAUCAGGAGGAACACCGGUGGUGUAGACGGCUCUCUGGACCGUAACUGACGCUGAGGCACGAAAGCGUGGGUAGCAAACAGG